rnacentral:lncRNA from 1 species
ACUUACGGGCGACCCGUGAGAAAAUCCGGUCAAUCAACCCGAACCCAGAACAGGAUUUUCAUUGAAAACAUCUAUGAGAACAGCAGAAAGAGCACCUACGAAGUUUAUGAUCAGGAGGAGAGAAGAAGAAAGCGAGUUCAAAGAGCAAGUGAUGAUGAGGAGAACAGGUCAACUCGGAAGGAACUCGGAAGAAGGUCAGACUGGGGUUGGCGAGGGGUUGGCGCUGCCAAGCGUAGGAACGACGACAGGUUGGGAAACAUCAUCGAUUAUUGUGGACACCACUGUGUUUGCCCCGUUGUUGUUGUUCGGUUUCCAGAUGAUGAUAAUUGUGGCAUUGCUGAUGGCGGUUUUGGUGCUCCUCAUGUUGCUGCUGCAGUUGUUUUUGUUAAAGAGAAUGAGGAGGAAGAAGCCGUGAUCAAGCUGGUGCUAAAGGAGUAGCAACAGAAUAAUUAAAGUAGAAAGCAAAAGUAAAAGAGAAAGGUGCGGUGGAAAAGAGAACGACAAAAGCAAAAGAGGGUGGUGCAAGCUGUCACCAAUGAGUCCUAUUCGUCGGUACAAACGAGGCAAGCUUUAAAGUUGCAGAGAAAACACAAAAGCAAAAGAAAGGUGCGGUGGAAAAGAGAAAAGCAAAAGCAAGGAAUAAACACCCACACUGCAAAAGCAAGGAAUAAACACCCCACCAGAAUGAUGUGAUUUACUUUUCUUGUUUUUGAAUGAUGUGAUUUAUUUUUCGGAGACAAUCUGUAUAAACCCCAUCA